rnacentral:tRNA from 1 species
GCGUCGGUACCGAAGUGGUCAAACGGGGCAGGCUGUAAACCUGCUGGCUAUAUGCCUUCGUUGGUUCGAAUCCAACCCGGCGCA